rnacentral:rRNA from 1 species
UAAGCGUGUAGGAGGAGGACCAGGUGAAUCCGGGCCUCAUAAACUCUGAGACGUGAUACCGAGCCGCUUCAGGCGAAGUCAUUGAUCCAAUGCUGCCUAGAAAAGCCCAGCAGCGAGUUGACAUGGUGCCCGUACCCCAAACCAACACAGGUGGACAGGUAGAGCAUACCAAGGCGAGUGGGAUAACUAUGGUUAAGUAACUCGGCAAAUUGCCUCCGUAACUUCGGGAGAAGGAGGACCCCAGUAGCGUGAUGAGACUUGCUCUCUGAGCGUGAAGGGGUGGCACAAAAUUGAGGGAAGCGACUGUUUACCAAAAACACAGCAGCGUGCUAAGCCGUAAGGCGCUGUAUACGCUGUGACUCCUGCCCGGUGCUGGAAGGUUACGGGGAUGGGUUAGUCCUUCGGGACGAAGCUCUGAACCUAAGCCCCAGUAAACGGCGGCCGUAACUAUAACGGUCCUAAGGUAGCGAAAUUCCUUGUCGGGUAAGUUCCGACCUGCACGAAUGGAGUAACGACUUCCCUACUGUCUCAACCAUAGACCCAGCGAAAUUGAAGUACGAGUAAAGAUGCUCGUUAGCUGCAGAAGGACGGAAAGACCCCGUGGACCUUUACUAUAACUUGAUGUUGUGUUUUGUCAUAUGUUGUGUAGGAUAGGUGGGAGACUUGGAAGCAUGGACGCUAGUCUGUGUGGAGUCAUCGUUGAAAUACCACCCUCAUAUGGUGAGGCUCUAACCUAGACCCGUUAUCCGGGUUGGGGACAGCGUCAGGCGGGUAGUUUAACUGGGGCGGUUGCCUCCUAAAGAGUAACGGAGGCGCCCAAAGGUUCCCUCAGCCUGGUUGGCAAUCAGGCGUUGAGUGCAAUGGCAAAAGGGAGCUUGACUGCGAGACCUACAAGUCGAGCAGGAGCGAAAGCUGGGCAUAGUGAUCCGGCGGUUGCGUGUGGAAGCGCCGUCGCUCAACGGAUAAAAGGUACCCCGGGGAUAACAGGCUAAUCUUGCCCAAGCGUCCAUAGCGACGGCAAGGUUUGGCACCUCGAUGUCGGCUCAUCGCAUCCUGGGGCUGAAGCAGGUCCCAAGGGUUGGGCUGUUCGCCCAUUAAAGCGGUACGCGAGCUGGGUUCAGAACGUCGUGAGACAGUUCGGUCCCUAUCCUCUGCAGCCGGAGGUGAAUUGAGGAAAGCUGUCCCUAGUACGAGAGGACCGGGACGGACGCAGCUCUCGUGUGCCAGUUGUCCUGCCAAGGGCAUGGCUGGUUAGCGACCUGCGGAAAGGAUAACCGCUGAAAGCAUCUAAGCGGGAAGCCUCUUCCAAGAUGAAUUCACCCACAGGGUUAACCUGGUAAGGCCCGUGGUAGACCACCACGUUGAUAGGCCGGAAGUGUAAGCGUGGCAACACGUUCAGCUGACCGGUACUAAUCGGCCGAGGGCUUGAGUG